UGUGUAGGCGGUCUUUUAAGUUUGGUGUGAAAUCUCCCGGCUCAACUGGGAGGGUGCGCCGAAUACUGAGAGGCUAGAGUACGGGAGAGGAAAGUGGAAUUCCUGGUGUAGCGGUGAAAUGCGUAGAUAUCAGGAGGAACACCGGUGGUGUAGACGGCUUUCUGGACCGUAACUGACGCUGAGACACGAAAGCGUGGGUAGCAAACAGGAUUAGAUACCCUGGUAGUCCACGCCCUAAACGAUGCAUAUUUGGUGUGGGCAGUUCAUUCUGUCCGUGCCGGAGCUAACGCGUUAAAUAUGCCGCCUGGGGAGUACAGUCGCAAGGCUGAA
rnacentral:rRNA from 1 species